rnacentral:rRNA from 1 species
UAUAACUCAGACUGUUUGGGGUUAUAUGGUCAAGUGAAGAAGCGCAUACGGUGGAUGCCUUGGCGACAGGAGGCGAUGAAGGACGUGGCAGCCUGCGAUAAGCUUCGGGGAGCCGGCAAACAGGCUUUUUUCGGGGGAUGU